rnacentral:rRNA from 1 species
UACAGAGGGGCAAGCGUUGUUCGGAAUUACUGGGCGUAAAGGGCGCGUAGGCGGCCUUCUAAGUCGAACGUGAAAUCCCCGGGCUCAACCCGGGAACUGCGUCCGAUACUGGAAGGCUUGAAUCCGGGAGAGGGAUGCGGAAUUCCAGGUGUAGCGGUGAAAUGCGUAGAUAUCUGGAGGAACACCGGUGGCGAAGGCGGCAUCCUGGACCGGCAUUGACGCUGAGGCGCGAAAGCCAGGGGAGCAAAGCGGGAUAGAAACCCUGGU